rnacentral:rRNA from 1 species
UACGAAGGGGGCUAGCGUUGUUCGGAAUCACUGGGCGUAAAGGGCGCGUAGGCGGCUUUAUAAGUCGGGGGUGAAAGCCCAGGGCUCAACCCUGGAACAGCCUUCGAUACUGGAUAUCUUGAGUACGGGAGAGGUGUGUGGAACUCCGAGUGUAGAGGUGAAAUUCGUAGAUAUUCGGAAGAACACCAGUGGCGAAGGCGGCUCACUGGCCCGGUACUGACGCUGAGGUGCGAAAGCGUGGGGAGCAAACAGG